UCGAGGAUCAUUUGCAAUGCGCGAAAGCGUGACAGUGCGACGCUGCGUGGAGGAUGAAGGCCUUCGGGCUGUAAACUCCUGUCAUUCGGGAACAAUAUUGCCGGGUGAAUAGCCCGGCGGUUUGAUGGUACCGGAAGAGGAAGCCACGGCUAACUCUGUGCCAGCAGCCGCGGUGAUACAGAGGUGGCGAGCGUUGUUCGGAUUUACUGGGCGUAAAGGAUGCGUAGGCGGUUUUGCGAGUCGGGUGUGAAAGCCCUGGGCUCAACCCAGGAAGUGCAUUCGAAACUGCAGGACUAGAGUAUGGGAGAGGAGAGCGGAAUUCCUGGUGUAGCGGUGAAAUGCGUAGAUAUCAGGAGGAACACCGGUGGCGAAGGCGGCUCUCUAGCAUAAUACUGACGCUGAGGCAUGAAAGCUGGGGGAGCAAACAG
rnacentral:rRNA from 1 species